rnacentral:rRNA from 1 species
ACAAUGAAGAGUUUGAUCCUGGCUCAGGAUGAACGCUAGCUACAGGCUUAACACAUGCAAGUCGAGGGGCAUCAGGAAGAAAGCUUGCUUUCUUUGCUGGCGACCGGCGCACGGGUGAGUAACACGUAUCCAACCUGCCCUUUACUCGGGGAUAGCCUUUCGAAAGAAAGAUUAAUACCCGAUAGCAUAAUGAUUCCGCAUGGUUUCAUUAUUAAAGGAUUCCGGUAAAGGAUGGGGAUGCGUUCCAUUAGGUUGUUGGUGAGGUAACGGCUCACCAAGCCUUCGAUGGAUAGGGGUUCUGAGAGGAAGGUCCCCCACAUUGGAACUGAGACACGGUCCAAACUCCUACGGGAGGCAGCAGUGAGGAAUAUUGGUCAAUGGGCGCUAGCCUGAACCAGCCAAGUAGCGUGAAGGAUGAAGGCUCUAUGGGUCGUAAACUUCUUUUAUAUAAGAAUAAAGUGCAGUAUGUAUACUGUUUUGUAUGUAUUAUAUGAAUAAGGAUCGGCUAACUCCGUGCCAGCAGCCGCGGUAAUACGGAGGAUCCGAGCGUUAUCCGGAUUUAUUGGGUUUAAAGGGAGCGUAGGUGGACUGGUAAGUCAGUUGUGAAAGUUUGCGGCUCAACCGUAAAAUUGCAGUUGAUACUGUCAGUCUUGAGUACAGUAGAGGUGGGCGGAAUUCGUGGUGUAGCGGUGAAAUGCUUAGAUAUCACGAAGAACUCCGAUUGCGAAGGCAGCUCACUGGACUGCAACUGACACUGAUGCUCGAAAGUGUGGGUAUCAAACAGGAUUAGAUACCCUGGUAGUCCACACAGUAAACGAUGAAUACUCGCUGUUUGCGAUAUACAGUAAGCGGCCAAGCGAAAGCAUUAAGUAUUCCACCUGGGGAGUACGCCGGCAACGGUGAAACUCAAAGGAAUUGACGGGGGCCCGCACAAGCGGAGGAACAUGUGGUUUAAUUCGAUGAUACGCGAGGAACCUUACCCGGGCUUAAAUUGCAGUGGAAUGAUGUGGAAACAUGUCAGUGAGCAAUCACCGCUGUGAAGGUGCUGCAUGGUUGUCGUCAGCUCGUGCCGUGAGGUGUCGGCUUAAGUGCCAUAACGAGCGCAACCCUUAUCUUCAGUUACUAACAGGUUAUGCUGAGGACUCUAGAGAGACUGCCGUCGUAAGAUGUGAGGAAGGUGGGGAUGACGUCAAAUCAGCACGGCCCUUACGUCCGGGGCUACACACGUGUUACAAUGGGGGGUACAGAAGGCAGCUAGCGGGUGACCGUAUGCUAAUCCCAAAAGCCUCUCUCAGUUCGGAUCGAAGUCUGCAACCCGACUUCGUGAAGCUGGAUUCGCUAGUAAUCGCGCAUCAGCCACGGCGCGGUGAAUACGUUCCCGGGGCCUUGUACACACCGCCCGUCAAGCCAUGGGAGCCGGGGGUACCUGAAGUACGUAACCGCAAGGAUCGUCCUAGGGUAAAACUGGUGACUGGGGCUAAGUCGUAACAAGGUAGCCGUACCGGAAGGUGCGGCUGGAACACCUCCUUU